AAGACGACUCUCGACAGCGGAUAUCUCGGCUCACGCAUCGAUGAAGAACGUAGCAAAAUGCGAUACUUGGUGUGAAUUGCAGAAUCCCGUGAACCAUCGAGUUUUUGAACGCAAGUUGCGCCCGAAGCCAAUUGGUUUAGGGCACGUCUGCCUGGGCGUCACUU
rnacentral:rRNA from 1 species